rnacentral:tRNA from 4 species
GCCCCUGUAGCUCAGCUGGAUAGAGCAGCGGACUUCUAAUCCGCAGGUCGUUGGUUCGAAUCCAACCGGGGGCG